rnacentral:piRNA from 1 species
CAGAGAGCUGAUGCUGAGGACAGCCAAGGCACUGGUGGAGGACACCAAGGCUCUAGUGAGUGGUGCAGCAGGAUCACAAGAACAACUCGCCAUGGCGGCACAGAACGCCACACAGACCAUCCUGCAGUUAGCUGAGGUGGUGAAGUUGGGAGCAGCCUCGCUGGGCUCCACCAAUCCUGAAGCCCAGGUGAGACCUCACCGCCGCCCAGUUCCGCCAUGUUGGCUGACAAUCAGGCUGUUACAGGUGAUGCUGCUCAACUCAGUGAAGGAUGUCGCCAUCUCCCUGCGAGAACUGGUGGAGUCAACCAAGAUGGCUGCUGGCAAGCCACUCAGUGACCCCGCCAUGGUACAUCUGAAGGAAUCAGCCAAGGUACAAUGUGACAGGUGACAUGUGUGUUCAGUGUGUGACCACCAUGUAUGUAAGCAGGUGAUGGUGACCAACAUCACCUCUCUCCUCAAGACAAUCAAGGCCGUGGAGGAUGAACAUUCACGCGGUACUAGAGCCCUGGAGUCCACCAUUGAGGCCAUUGGACAGGAGAUCCGGGUAAGUUGGGACUGAAGGAUUGACAGCAGAUAUACACUCAUUGUAUAUCGGGAUUCAGACAAUAACUCUGAAAGAUACACUCAUGGACAAAACUUAAGGAAGUUUUACUUUUUAGCAUGUAUAUCGGGAUUCAGACAAUAACUCUGAAAGAUACACUCAUGGACAAAACUUAAGGAAGUUGUACCUUUUAGCAUGUAUAUCGGGAUUCAGACAAUAACUCUGAAAGAUAUUACAGUGACCUUUAUUGAAGACACAUGAGAUAACCAAGUGUGAACAACCUUCAAAAAGACACAUCAACAUCGAAGUUUUUUUCAUCAGUGUAGUUGUAUUAUACACGGUAGAACAACCUCCAUGAGAGGACAUUCCCACUAGAGAACACCUCUUAAAAAGGACAGUUUUCAUUUGUAAAAUUAUCAUUUUAACUAUUUAACAACUCUCCAGUAAGAGGACAACUCUCCCUAAAAGACACUUUGGUUCUACAAUUAGGUGUUGUCCUUUACAGUGAGGUAGUUCUACUGUAUAUUUGAAAGUACAUUUUUAAUAUAUAUAAUCAAAAAAAGUUGAAUAUCUAAAAUAUAUAUUCUCCGUCAUAGUACAGUUAAACCUGUCUAUAGCGCCCCCUAUAAAUAACGCCUUCUUCUCUAUAUCGCCCGAUUUCAAACAUUAAAAUGUAAACAUUUUACAUUAAAAGUGACCUGUCUAUAGCACCCUAUUUUGGUGAGUCCCAGGAGGGGGCGCUAUAGACAGGUUUAACUGAUUAAAUAUAGCAGAUAAGAACUAAAGAUUCCAACACAACAUAUUGAACAAUAUCUUACAAACCAAACACUACAGUUCAGUUAUUCCAGUAACUCACAGUGAGACAUUGUGUAAGUAGCUCUGUGUGCUCCAGGCCUUUGACUCCUCAGAACAGCCGAGGAGAGGCUGCACUGCUGAGGACCUUGUGAGGGUGACAAAGCCGGUGACGUUGGCCACAGCGAAGGCCGUCGCUGCUGGUACCAGCGGGAAACAGGACGAUAUCAUAGUGGCCGCCAACAUGGGCCGUAAAGCCAUCACAGAUCUCCUCACCACAGCCAAGGUACGCUGGAUUAUCUUUGUCAUUAUUGGCAGAGCUGACUGCUACAGGAUAGGGGAACAACCUUCAGAUAUGAAGGCCAGCUGUGAAACAAGCAGAAUUACUCUGAUAAAUAACUCUGCCACUGAGUAGUGCUCCCAGUCUUAAUGACAAAGGCACACACAUUCUACUUCACCCAGCAAAGUCUCAAGCUUUACAAGCUUGAUACCCUAAUAUGAUUGAGUGGAGAUAAGAAAGAAGAAGAAGAAGUAGUCGCGGACCAACAGCAGCAUUGUUAGAAGAGGAGUAGACCUCUUUAAAUAUCCUGAGUUCAAGUGUUGAUAGACCUCAGCAAGGGUUCUUCUCCAGGGAUACGGAGGAGCUGUGUCUGUACUCAUGUAAAGUUGGCAGCAAAGACUUCCAUGUUAGGAACGGCCUCAAAUUACAAAGUCAGUACUUUCACCAAAGUGUGCCUGGAUCAUGGUACCAUGAUCAACGAAAGCUGCACCCAUACCCCAAUUUGAUCUGUUAGUGACCAUCACUUUCAUCUAGUGUCCAUCCAGUAGCUUUCUUCGCCUCUUCUAGCAAUUCAUUGGAAGUUUUACAGCGAAGGUAUCAAGACCAAUCUAUGUGUCCAGAGUGCGGCCUUCUCAGCGGAGAGCAUGGAGACCCGGCACAGAGUUCUCUCCACCAGCAGGGAGUGUUCUCUCCAUUACAGAGAGCUGCUCCAGAUGGUGCUGAGAACCAAACCUGGCACUGGGCGGCAGGAACUGGUGCUCAUGUCUCGUACCAUCGCCACAGCUGUCACAGAGAUUGUCACCUCAGCAGAGUAUCUUAAAGGUAAUUUACUUCCACUCUGGCUGCCAUGACAGCGUGACACACCUAGUCACUUAGAGUAGAACUACCUACUGUAAAGGACAACACCUAGUUACAGAGCCAAAGUGUUCUUUAGGGAGAGAUGUCCUCUUACCAGAGAGUUGCUACAGUAGAACUACCUCUCUGUAAAGGACAACACCUAGUUACAGAGCCAAAGUGUCCUUUAGGGAGAGAUGUCCUCUUACCAGAGAGUUGCUACAGUAGAACUACCUCUCUGUAAAGGACAACACCUAGUUACAGAACCAAAGUGUCCUUUAGGGAGAGAUGUCCUCUUACCAGAGAGUUGCUACAGUAGAACUACCUCUCUGUAAAGGACAACACCUAGUUACAGAGCCAAAGUGUCCUUUAGGGAGAGAUGUCCUCUUACCAGAGAGUUGCUACAGUAGAACAACAUCUCUGUAAAGGACAACACCUAGUUACAGAGCCAAAGUGUCCUUUAGGGAGAGAUGUCCUCUUACCAGAGAGUUGCUACAGUAGAACUACCUCUCUGUAAAGGACAACACCUAGUUACAGAGCCAAAGUGUCCUUUAGGGAGAGAUGUCCUCUUACCAGAGAGUUGCUACAGUAGAACUACCUCUCUGUAAAGGCAACACCUAGUUACAGAGCCAAAGUGUCCUUUAGAGAGAGAUGUCCUCAUAGUGGAGAUGGACUAAUUAGUAAAAAUGGUAAUUUUGCAAAUGAAAACUGUCCUUUGUAAAGAAGUGUCCUCUAGCAUGAGUGUCCUCUCAUUGUUGUUGUUGUUGUUGUUUCUUAUCCCCUUGUGUAAAGAUUACACGAAUUCCAUGAGUUCAUGCUCCUCGAGCGUCCUCUCAUUGUGUUUCUACUGUAUUUUCUAAAAAUAUGAUCAAAACAUAUUGUGCAUAUGACUAGCCAUGGUGAAAGAUAUACUUGUUCCAGCCAUCAUACCAGUACCUGGAAGUUAUGAACAUCUAGCUUUCUUUCUUAAGACCUUUUAAGAGUUUCAGGAAGUGUUUGAUCCAAUGCAGUCAAAGGUGUGUUGCAAUAAGGCUGGAUUUGUGAGGCAUUUGACAAGAGUGAUUUUUCUCAUCACCCAAACUGAUAUCAGGAGAAGCAAUGGAAUCUUUAAGUACACCAAGUGACAUACACAGAAAAACAAGAACUAUAUAAAAUAUUAAAUCACCCAACAUACAGUUAAGCCUGUCUAUAGCGCCCCCUCUAAAUAGCACCUCCCUCUCUAUAGCGCCCGAUUUUAAAUACGUAGUACGAUGCAAUUUACAUUAAAAGUGACCUGUCUAUAGCACCUCCCUCUCUAUAGCACCCUAUUUUGGUAAGUCCCAAGAGCUAUAGACAGGUUUAACUUCAUAUCAAUAGAUGUUCUUAACCCUCAUCACUUAAUGAUGACUUCAACAGGAAUUGCCCAUGAUGUGUUGAAUAUUAAAGAAGUUGUACCAAUGUAUUCCCCUCACAUCUGAAGUGUGCUGUGCAGGAAGUGACUGGGUGGACCCAGACGACCCCACAGUCAUCGCUGAGACAGAACUGCUGGGAGCUGCCAACUCCAUCGAUGCUGCAGCCAGGAAGUUGGCCAACUUGAAACCUCGCCGGCCAUCUGUCAAGGUGGGUUGGUUUAUCCCUUUGUCUCUACAGGCUGUCAGUCAAGGUAAGUAGGAGGGGCUCCAGGCUGUCAGUCAAGGUAAGUGGGAGGGGCUCCAGGCUGUCAGUCAAGGUAAAUAGGAGAGGCUCCAGGCUGUCAGUCAAGGUAAGUGGGAGGGGCUCCAGGCUGUCAGUCAAGGUAAAUAGGAGAGGCUCCAGGCUGUCAGUCAAGGUAAGUGGGAGGGGCUCCAGGCUGUCAGUCAAGGUAAAUAGGAGAGGCUCCAGGCUGUCAGUCAAGGUAAGUAGGAGGGGCUCCAGGCUGUCAGUCAAGGUAAGUGGGAGGGGCUCCAGGCUGUCAGCUGACCAUCGAGCCAAUACUCUCCCCUGUCUGAUAUGUUUGAUAUUCUUGGUUGUGAAUAUACUUCAACCAAGAAUCAGACAUAUACCGACAGUGGCGAGAUUUUCUCCAUGUUUUCCCAGGUAGGUCUCCAGGUAAGUUGCAUGCUCUAUAGCUUGGAUUCAAAUUCCACACAGUGCCACAUUUUGUCUAAUGGAGAAGCUUCUUGCAUGAACAGCUCAGGGAAUAAUCCCUGAUCAUAUAUCGCUGAAAAAAAGAAGACCAUUCAUAUAUAUACAUAUAUUAAAAACAAAAAGGGCAUUUCCUGACAACUAACAUGAACUUUUAGAAGGCAGAACACCAUCUAGUGGAACAGAAAUCAACUAAACGUUGAUUUAACCUGUUCCCUGAUAUUUGGCAGAAAAUCCAACCACAUUUAUCAAGAAAAUAGGUUGGCCAAAUAUCAGAGAACAGGUUAAAUCAAUGAUAAGGCACAAUUUGAAUUAUAGAUUAUAAACACAUAGAUUAUUAUUACCUUGUGUUUAGGUUAAAUCAAUGUUUAGUUGAUUUCUGUUCCACUAGAUGGUGCUCUGCCAUCAAAAAAAAACCCCUCAGUUAGUAGUAAAUAUGCCUCUAAUUUGUUUUUAAUAUAAAUACCUGAUCUUUUUUUUAUUAUUUCUUGAACCUAUUUCCGAAAUAUUUUUUUCUUAAAACAGAGAGAACAAAUGAGCAUGUAGAAUCGCUACAAUAAUGAGACACUGUGUGUUGGUGAAGGAGGCAGAUGAAGCUCUCAACUUCGACGAGAUGAUUCUGGAGGCGGCCAAGUCUAUCACAGCCGCUACCUCCGCGCUGGUCAAAGCUGCUUCCUGCGCUCAGCGGGAGUUGGUAGCAUCGGGCAGAUUGGCGCCCACGCCAACUGACGGCAGCCAUUGGAGCGACGGCCAGUGGAGUGAAGGACUGAUUAGCGCAGCGCGGUUGGUGGCUGCGGCCACACACAGUCUGGUGGAGGCUGCCAACGCCCUGGUCCAGGGACAUGCAUCAGAGGAGAAACUCAUCUCCUCGGCCAAGCAAGUUGCAGCUUCCACGGCCCAGCUGCUGGUGGCGUGUCAAGUCAAGGCCGACCCACGCUCCCAGGCCAUGAAAAGGCUCCAGGUCAGUGUACCUUCUGUUCAUGUCGUAUUCUUCCAUGUGAAAAAUAGAACUAAAGUGAUAAAAUUAUACUGGGAUCAGGUGGAUAUAUUAUGGUUAAAAAAAAAGGCAUCUUCUGAUCUUCCAACUAAAGGUUGCUGAUGGUUUGCCCUAUGUCUUUUUUAUCAACCAACAUUCUACAAUUUUUAUUUAAAAAGUAUAUUUUUCAUUCUUGUUCCAAAAUCAUUAGGUACAGUUCAAAAAGAACAACCUAGUUUAUGAUAUUUACAACAAUGAAUAAUAUAUGAAGGUUAUUCACAUAUUAAAACAAAAUGUUAACGUGGGAUUCGAUCCUGGUUCAUGACUGUCGGGAAUCGAGGGUGUUACCUACUUGUCCACCGACUCUUUAUAUAUUUUUCAUGAUAUCCCUUGUGGAUCAAAUGAAAUCUUUAAAAUCCACCAAAGAGGUGUUUAGCUGGUAAAGUGGUAAGGCCAAAUCUAUGGCCACAAUAUAGAUCCAUUAUCAGUUUACCAAAGCUGGUUUUGUGUGUUUGUCACUGACCUGAAGCUGCUAGUUUGUGUUGAUGAUCAAUAGAUGGUAUCAAGUUUUGACAUCUAUUUUGACAGGAGAGGUUACGUCUAAUCACUCUUCAUCAUUAGAUCCAUUGAAUAAUACUUAAGUCUAGUCAUCUACAGACAAUGACAGAAUGGUUGCAAGGUACAAUGUACUAAGUGUCAACCUGUAACCCUAAAACACAUUAUUGACUGUAUUGACUUAUCCAUUGAUGAGCUCUACUCUUCCCCGGCAGACACCAUCAACAAGCUUUACAAGCUUGAUACCUUAAUAUGAUUUUGAGUGGAGAUAAGAAAGAAGAAGAUCCAUUAACUAACUUUCACAGGCUUCCAUAUGAUUCGCAGUAACAAGGACACUAAUCCACAAAUGUGUCUGUCCAGGCCGCGGGUAACGCAGUCAAGAAGGCCACAGACAAUCUUGUCCGAGCCGCGCAACAAGCCAUUGAACAAGAUGAGGAACGUUCCCUUGUCAUUAACAAGCGCAUGGUGGGCGGCAUCGCUCAGGAGAUCAUUGCACGAGAGGAGAUCCUGCGCAAGGAACGUGAGCUGGAGGAGGCCAGGGAGAAACUGUUAGCCUUGCGGAGAGCCAAGUACGGCAACGAGUACCAGGGCUACGGAUCUUGCUAACACCGCGUGUUGCUGUUUGAUGACACAUAUCACCCCGCUGUUUUGUACAUUACUAAUGAGAGAACCAAAUAAUAAAUAUAGUUGUGUCACACCUUGUCUUUCUUCACACUGCUCUUAGUGCACAUCUGUGUUUGUUUUUUUAUUAUCCCUUGUACACAUGGUCCCCCUUGUCAGAGCUGACUGCUACAGGGCACUACCCCAGGUGGCAGAUAGGGGAACUACCUUCAGAUAUGAAGGCCAGCUGUGAAACAAGCAGAAUAACUCUGACCAAAUAAGCAGUCGCGGACCAACAGCAGCAUUGUUAGAAGACCAGUAGACCUCUCUAAAAAUCCUGACACUUCAACUGUUGAUAGACCUCAACAAGGAUCCCAAUCCAGGGAUAUGGAGGAGCUGUGUCUGUACUCAUGUUAGAGUCGGCAGCAAAGGCUUCCAUGUUAGGAACGGCCUCAAACUACAGUCAGACUUUCACCAAAGAGUGCCUGGAUCAUUUUUUUCCAAUGAUCAACGAAAAUAUCAAUUAAGAAGGAUCAGAAGAUUCUGAUCCUUCUUAAUUGAUAUACCUUACUAGAAGAGUCUUUACCUUUAAUCAACGAAAAUUGCACCCCUACACCCCAACAAUAAAAUCUACACUGACUGUGAACGAUGCGUUGUUGUAGAUCGGUUUCUGCUGAAACAAUGCCAGAAAUGUCUGAAAUUCAAUCCCACCCACAAAACGGCAGAAUGCCCUAACACCCCAAUAUGCAGGACAUGUGGAGUUCAGGGAGUUCAUGAUUGCUCUGGAAUUCCCAAAUGUUUCAAUUGUUCCCAACAUCCUAAGUAUAGAAACAGGCCCUCAUCACACAGAGCAAACUCAGAGGAAUGUCCUAUGUAUAAGGCACAAAUAGACAGAAUAAUCGAAAGAACAAGUUAUUUCCCAACUGAACAAUCAAGUAACUAACUAGUACAAGUCAAACAGGAUAAAAUGCAAGUUCCGUUGAUUAAGUGUGUGCAACAUAAUCUAAAAAAAGCAUAAACGCAACAAAUGAAUCCUGGCUCGGAUAGCUAACGACCCACCAGACAUAUUAUUUAUUCAGGAGGCUUAUACAGUAAACAAUGUUAUCAUUUUUGGCGGAGACGAGCAUUCAAUUUUAACAGCUAAAGGAAACAAGAUAAAUUCGGCAUCAAUAAUUCUAAAUAAACGAAUCUAAAUGAAUAGAUACUCCAUCACAUCUGUAAAAUGAGGAAACGGGAUGAAGGAGGGAGAAAGAAACCAAUGAAGGCAACUAAACAAGGAAUUAAAUGUAUUCAACAAAAUAUAAAGAAAAGUGUCAUAGCAUUAGAUGAACUUCGAGCCUCUGUUCUGUCCAACCCCCUCCUGACUUAUUAUUUAUUCAAGAGCCUUAUAUGUUAGGGAAUGAUGUGAUAUUCAAUAAUGACUCACAAAUUGUUUACUCUAAAACCGAUAAAACAAUCUACACAGCAACGAUUAUUCUUAACAGUAGCAUUAAAUAUAAGACAAUUGAUAGAUUCACUAAUUCUUUUUGUACAACUAUUUCUAUACAUUCAGAGGAUUCAAAUAUUGUUAUUUCAAACUUCUACAUUCACCCUAACAAUCUCAGUAAUACUCACCAAAUAUUUAUCAAAGAACUUUUGGAGACAUUCGAGCUACAGCCAAUAAUCCUCUGUGGUGAUUUUAACUCUCGACAUCCUGUAUGGUACGAACGAAUAAUCAAUUCCAAUGGAGACAAAUUCCACUCUAUUGUGGAUGAAUACAACUUGUUUAUCCAUAACCUUAAAAUGCCUACAUGUUGAAAUGCCAGUUUAAUAGAUUUAACAAUAUCAAACAAAAAUUCUAUAAAGCUUAUACAGAAUUGGAGCACAUCAACUUUUACAAAUAUUUCCGAUCAUGUAGCAAUAACCUUCGACAUUCGAUAUAAUUUUAAAGUACAGAGAAUUGGACAAAGGUCAACAUGGAAAUUCAUUGAAAAAGAUGCCAACUGGGAAAAAUUUACUGAAGAGAUAUUAUUUCAAAAUGUACAUAACUUGUCGAAUGAAAUAAAUCAGGCAUCUAAUACUACGGAUGUUGACAGGAUCGUG